UACGAAGGGGGCUAGCGUUGCUCGGAAUCACUGGGCGUAAAGGGUGCGUAGGCGGGUCUUUAAGUCAGGGGUGAAAUCCUGGAGCUCAACUCCAGAACUGCCUUUGAUACUGAAGAUCUUGAGUCCGGGAGAGGUGAGUGGAACUGCGAGUGUAGAGGUGAAAUUCGUAGAUAUUCGCAAGAACACCAGUGGCGAAGGCGGCUCACUGGCCCGGUACUGACGCUGAGACGCGAAAGCGUGGGGAGCAAACAGGG
rnacentral:rRNA from 1 species